UACGUAGGGUCCGAGCGUUUGUCCGGAAUUAUUGGGCGUAAAGAGCUCGUAGGCGGUGUGUCACGUCGGCCGUGAAAACCUGCAGCUUAACUGUGGGCGUGCGGUCGAUACGGGCAUCACUGGAGUUCGGCAGGGGAGACUGGAAUUCCUGGUGUAGCGGUGGAAAUGCGCAGAUAUCAGGAGGAACACCAGUGGCGAAGGCAGGGCUCGCUGGGGCCGGAAUGACUGACG
rnacentral:rRNA from 1 species